GAUGAACGCUGGCGGCGUGCCUAAUACAUGCAAGUCGAGCGAACAGACGAGGAGCUUGCUCCUCUGACGUUAGCGGCGGACGGGUGAGUAACACGUGGAUAACCUACCUAUAAGACUGGGAUAACUUCGGGAAACCGGAGCUAAUACCGGAUAAUAUAUUGAACCGCAUGGUUCAAUAGUGAAAGACGGUUUUGCUGUCACUGAUAGAUGGGUCCGCGCCGCAUUAGCUAGUUGGUAAGGUAACGGCUUACCAAGGCAACGAUGCGUAGCCGAGCUGAGGGGGUGAUCGGCCACACUGGAACUGAGACACGGUCCAGACUCCUACGGGAGGCAGCAGUAGGGAAUCUUCCGCAAUGGGGGAAAGCCUGACGGAGCAACGCCGCGUGAGUGAUGAAGGUCUUCGGAUCGUAAAACUCUGUUAUUAGUGAAGAACAAAUGUGUAAGUAACUAUGCACGUCUUGACGGUACCUAAUCAGAAAGCCACGGCUAACUACGUG
rnacentral:rRNA from 1 species